GAUGAACGCUGGCGGCGUGCCUAAUACAUGCAAGUCGAGCGAACAGACGAGGAGCUUGCUCCUCUGACGUUAGCGGCGGACGGGUGAGUAACACGUGGAUAAACUACCUAUAAGACUGGGAUAACUUCGGGAAACCGGAGCUAAUACCGGAUAACAUGUUGAACCGCAUGGUUCAACAGUGAAAGACGGUUUUGCUGUCACUUAUAGAUGGAUCCGCGCCGCAUUAGCUAGUUGGUAAGGUAACGGCUUACCAAGGCAACGAUGCGUAGCCGACCUGAGAGGGUGAUCGGCCACACUGGAACUGAGACACGGUCCAGACUCCUACGGGAGGCAGCAGUAGGGAAUCUUCCGCAAUGGGCGAAAGCCUGACGGAGCAACGCCGCGUGAGUGAAGAAGGUCUUCGGAUCGUAAAACUCUGUUAUUAGGGAAGAACAAAUGUGUAAGUAACUAUGCACGUCUUGACGGUACCUAAUCAGAAAGCCACGGCUAACUACGUG
rnacentral:rRNA from 1 species